rnacentral:rRNA from 1 species
UACGAAGGGGGCUAGCGUUGUUCGGAAUUACUGGGCGUAAAGCGUGCGCAGGCGGCUUCUCAAGUCAGGGGUGAAAGCCCAGAGCUCAACUCUGGAAUUGCCUUUGAGACUGAGUGGCUUGAGUACGAGAGAGGUGAGUGGAAUUCCCAGUGUAGAGGUGAAAUUCGUAGAUAUUGGGAAGAACACCGGUGGCGAAGGCGGCUCGCUGGCUCGUAACUGACGCUCAUGCACGACAGCGUGGGGAUCAAACAGG